rnacentral:rRNA from 1 species
GAUGAACGCUGGCGGCGUGCCUAACACAUGCAAGUCGAGCGAAGCACUUUGCUUAGAUUCUUCGGAUGAAGAGGAUUGUGACUGAGCGGCGGACGGGUGAGUAACGCGUGGGUAACCUGCCUCAUACAGGGGGAUAACAGUUAGAAAUGACUGCUAAUACCGCAUAAGACCACAGCACCGCAUGGUGCGGGGGUAAAAACUCCGGUGGUAUGAGAUGGACCCGCGUCUGAUUAGCUAGUUGGUAAGGUAACGGCUUACCAAGGCGACGAUCAGUAGCCGACCUGAGAGGGUGACCGGCCACAUUGGGACUGAGACACGGCCCAAACUCCUACGGGAGGCAGCAGUGGGGAAUAUUGCACAAUGGGGGAAACCCUGAUGCAGCGACGCCGCGUGAGCGAAGAAGUAUUUCGGUAUGUAAAGCUCUAUCAGCAGGGAAGAAAAUGACGGUACCUGACUAAGAAGCAC